GGCCUAACACUUGCAAGUCUGACGGUAGCACAGAGGAGCUUGCUCCUUGGGUGACGAGUGGCGGACGGGUGAGUAAUGUCUGGGGAUCUGCCCGAUAGAGGGGGAUAACCCUGGAAACGGUGGCUAAUACCGCAUAACGUCGCAAGACCAAAGAGGGGGACCUUCGGGCCUCUCACUAUCGGAUGAACCCAGAUGGGAUUAGCUAGUAGGCGGGGUAAUGGCCCACCUAGGCGACGAUCCCUAGCUGGUCUGAGAGGAUGACCAGCCACACUGGAACUGAGACACGGUCCAGACUCCUACGGGAGGCAGCAGUGGGGAAUAUUGCACAAUGGGCGCAAGCCUGAUGCAGCCAUGCCGCGUGUAUGAAGAAGGCCUUCGGGUUGUAAAGUACUUUCAGCGGGGAGGAAGGCGAUGGGGUUAAUAACCUUGUCGAUUGACGUUACCCGCAGAAGAAGCACCGGCUAACUCCGUGCCAGCAGCCGCGGUAAUACGGAGAGUG
rnacentral:rRNA from 1 species